GAGCCACAAGGGGCAGGAGAGAGGGGCAGGAACAGAGGCACAGCACAAGAACCCAAGGAACAGCCAGCAAAACCAAAGAAAGGCAAGGCUCACGAUCUAAAGCGGGAGCAAAGUGACUGACAGAAACCUCCCUAUAUUUCUGAUGUUGGGCCUGUGCUGGGGAGAAGAAGACAUAAGAGAGGCUUUUUAUUACAGAAGAGGUCAUUGUUCUUGUCUCAGGAACCCCAGACUGUGAGGGUACAGAUGGAGGCUGAGGACUUCCAGCCCUCAGACAGCCUGGGGCCCCACGGAUCCACUGGAUUAUGGGAGCUGCACAUGGUCAGGUUUCUGAUCUGCAAGCAGUAGCAAUCCUGUUGAAGAACUGCAGGCUGACGAGCAGAAGGGACUGUUCGCCAUGCACCACGCCUGAUGGGAAAGCUGCUCUCAAGUCACACUUCAGAUGAGACACAUUUAAAGGCACACAGUGCCUGUGCACAGCACGUGUUAAACACUGGGGGCUUGUGUCUCUCUGCACAAAUCCCAACUGUCCUGCCCACGUAAUGGAGAGCAGAAAUGUGACACUAGAGAAUUGUACUGAAUGCAGAAAGGUACUAAGUUCAAACAGUCACUCUCUGCACAAGUAUGUGGUUUCUUGCAGAAGCAGUUUUAACUCUUUUCCAUAACCUGUGAUCAGAUUCAGCAGGAUGUUCACCCUGCCUUAAUCUCAGGUGUAACUGGAGUACUCCGGCCUGUGCUUGGACUGGCUGUCUCCCCAGAUUACCGGAGUUAAGAGCCUACACUCGUUACUCAGGCUCCAGAGUUAUGGAGCAUCAGUACCCUCCUGUAGGAUUGUGACCCUCCCUCCACACCCAGGCUGAAGUCCCACGGUUCUGCCUACUCUGCUCCCCCCCAUCCUACUCAGGGAAGUCAUCCUGGAAUGGGACCCCAGGUGGCUGUGUCACACCUGCCCCUUGGGACAUGGUUAUAUUUACAGUGAGUGUAUCUCCAAGGGCAGGGAAGCCUCCCGGUAUUUUGAAAGCCACAGCUUUCCACAGGGAAGUGCAGUCAGAUAUUCCCUGCACUGAUAGGUCCCGCAAUGGCAAAGCCCAAAGGGAAAUGAGAUUUGGGAAUUUUACACAGGACUGUGGUCGUCUUUUACUUACACACUCCGAAGCGGUGAUGGUUAACGAGCUGGACAUGAAAGACUGGCCUUCGUUCAAACUCACCAAAACCUCCAGGGUUCUGCAAAGAGAGAGAGAAGAAACAUGAGCAACCAUAUAACAGUCAGGAAGGGCUCACACCUGCUCCAGAGGCUCCUGUAUCUACAGCCUCUGCUCCACAGAGAGUGUCCCCAGACGGGAAAUGGAGGCCUGUGCUCACUCUUGUUUGGGAGUAAGUUUGGUCUCCUUGACAGAGCUAUCUGAGUAGAGAUUAUCUGUUCUCUUUUCCGUGCAGCAUAAAAGACUCGCAAAAGUUUUACAUAAAAUAAAUUGAAGUUCAACUGUAAAAUCAGCAUUGUUUUCUCUGUUCCAUAACCAUCUUUUUAGUCACAUGCAGGCAUUAUGGAUAAAAAUGUCGGAUAAUUAUAAAUGGUCAGGACUUGCUAUAAAUAGCCCCAAACAUUGCAUACAAAUGGUACGUGGUUUACAUUUUACAAAUUAACCCUACAAGAAAACAACACAUGGUGGAUGUUAAACAGAAGAAGACUCCUCUCUGGCUUGGAUUCCCAGGAUUCAGACAGUUUAUAUUAUGCAUAGAUGCAAUUAAAUAAAAAUAUAGAUAUCCAUGAACUAAAAUGAUUAAUCAUUUAUACCAUUCUUACAUGUCAUGAGUUUUUAUUCUGGCACAAACACUUUAGUCAAUAUGGAGUUCAAAGCCAUUUUAACUAAUUUGGCUAAUUUCUUCUUCAUUGGUAGCAAAAAUGAAGUGAGUUGCUUCCACUAAACUAAUUCUUAAAUUAUCUAUGUCAUAAAUAAUUGAUCCAAUGGAAAGAAUAACUCUAAUUUCUUUCUAAUUAUUACUGGAAUAAGUGAAUCAGAACAGAUAAAAAUAAAAAAAAAUCAAAUCUCUUG